rnacentral:rRNA from 1 species
CAGCCGCCGCGGUAAUACAGAGGGUGCGAGCGUUAAUCGGAUUUACUGGGCGUAAAGCGUGCGUAGGCGGCUUUUUAAGUCGGAUGUGAAAUCCCUGAGCUUAACUUAGGAAUUGCAUUCGAUACUGGGAAGCUAGAGUAUGGGAGAGGAUGGUAGAAUUCCAGGUGUAGCGGUGAAAUGCGUAGAGAUCUGGAGGAAUACCGAUGGCGAAGGCAGCCAUCUGGCCUAAUACUGACGCUGAGGUACGAAAGCAUGGGGAGCAAACAGGAUUAGAUACCCCAGUAGUCCCUGUCUCUUAUCC